rnacentral:rRNA from 1 species
GGAUUAGAUACCCUGGUAGUCCACGCCGUAAACGAUGGAUACUCGAUGUAGGAGGGAAUCGACCCCCUUCUGUGUCUAAGCUAACGCGUUAAGUAUCCCGCCUGGGGAGUACGGUCGCAAGAUUAAAACUCAAAGGAAUAGACGGGGACCCACACAAGCGGUGGAGCAUGUGGUUUAAUUCGACAAUAAACGGGGAACCUUACCAAGGCUUGACAUCUCCGGAAGUCCGAGGAAACUUGGAUGUGCCGUAAGGAACUGGAUGACAGGUGCUGCAUGGUCGUCGUCAGCUCGUGCCG